UAUAUACUCCCUCCGUCUGGAAAUACUUGUCAUUAAAAUGGAUAAAAGGGAUGUAUCUAGAUGUAUUUUAGUUUUAGAUACAUCCCUUUUUGUCCAUUUUGAUGACAAGUAUUUUCGGACGGAGGGAGUAUAAU
rnacentral:pre_miRNA from 1 species